rnacentral:pre_miRNA from 1 species
AAAAUACUACCUCCGUCCCAAAAUUCUUGUCUUACAUUUGUCUAGAUACGGAUGUAUCUAAUACUAAAAUAUGACUUGAUACAUCCGUAUUUAAACAAAUCUAAGACAAGAAUUUUGGGACGGAGGGAGUAGAUG